UGGGGAAUAUUGGUCAAUGGGCGCAAGCCUGAUCCAGCCAUGCCGCGCGUGUGAAGAAGGCCUUUUGGUUGUAAAGCACUUUAAGCGAGGAGGAGGCUACUUGGAUUAAUACUCUAGGAUAGUGGACGUCACUCGCAGAAUAAGCACCGGCUAACUCUGUGCCAGCAGCCGCGGUAAUACAGAGGGUGCGAGCGUUAAUCGGAUUUACUGGGCGUAAAGCGUGCGUAGGCGGCUUUUUAAGUCGGAUGUGAAAUCCCUGAGCUUAACUUAGGAAUUGCAUUCGAUACUGGGAAGCUAGAGGAUGGGAGAGGAUGGUAGAAUUCCAGGUGUGGCGGUGAAGUGCGUAGAGGUCUGGAGGAAUACCGAUGGCGAAGGCAGCCGUCUGGCCUAAUACUGACGCUGAGGUACGAGAGCAUGGGGAGCAGACAGG
rnacentral:rRNA from 1 species